rfam:Ovis aries breed Texel chromosome 1, whole genome shotgun sequence.
GGUUCCAUAGUGUAAUUGUGAGCACUCUGGACUCUGAAUCCAGUGAUCCGAAUUCAAAUCUCAGUGGGACCU